rnacentral:lncRNA from 12 species
AUGCUGAUGCUCAAAGAAGGGAGAAUGGAUAAUUUUGUACAGUCCUUGGUACCAUCCUUCCAGGAUAGAAGCCUCGCAAACAACCCAGUCAUUUCCUGUAUCUACCAGGUGUUCACCACAGCCCAACAGGUCCUGGGCCAGCAAUUCCCCAACACCCUCUCUCCCAUCUUGGGUACCUGGCCUGACCAGAAACUGCAGGACACCUGGCAGUCCCUGCACUGUGCCUGUUUCAAAGGAAAGGGGGCCUGGGUGCAGGCAAAUUUGCAUGACUGGGACAUGAAUUGCCAUACCUCCAUUACCGUGAUGCCACGGGAAAUUCUGCAGCUCACUGAGGCAGACACAGAGUCAGAGGGUAAGGGGGAUUGCAAGCUGGGAAGACUAUCUGCAGUGCGGUUCAGGGACUGGGGGUUUCUCUAUUGGCCAUGGAAUCUGCCCUGUUUUUGGAAGGGCAUGGGGCAAGUCAGUCUUGUGGACAAACAUUUCUCUUUAUCCUGUCCCAGUGCCAGCUCCAUGGCUCCUUCCAGCAUCUCCUCGAUCAGCUGUUCCAGAUCUGGAACAAGAGCUCAUGUCUUCUUCUGCAUGUGUACCAGGUCAUGAGCUGCAGUCAGUUCGACCACCAGCUUUCCUGGGAAUUGUAACUCCUUCCCUAAACAUAGAGACAGAGCCACCUCCAGCCCCAGAGGCGACCUGCCACUGGUGCAUAACUCCCGAGCACCAGCUACAUGAGGAGAAGCCCGGUCUCAUGGACUUCCCUCCCAAGCUGGUGGCAGAGCAAUUGACAUCCAUAGAUGUGGUGAGCAGCUGGGCUCCCAGGACGGGGCCGGGGCCGGGGCAGGCUUUCUUUCUGCUGUCAUCUACCCCAGACCUGCCCUUCCCUGAUGUGGGCUUGUAAGGUCAGGGUCCAAAUCUCAGCUCCAUCACUUACGAACCACAUCAACCCGUCCAGUUCCUCAAACCCUUGCUUUCACUGUCCAGCUGCAGACUUUGGAGAUAGACCCUGGCAAGGACUGAUGCAGAGUUCCUGUGUCAAUUAAAUGAGCCAGAACUGAUAGGCAAAUGGGCAGGCACUGGUCCUUGGGUGGAGGAGGGCAACUCACUGUGUGCGGCCAAGCCCACGGCUCACCCACACAUCUGCCUUGGAGGCUGAGCAACCUACAUUUAUUAGUCAUCUAAUGUGUGAAGUACAGGGCAGGGAGAUAAACCUGUGGUUGUACCUCUCUCUGUGAGAAUGUGCUGCUGAAAGGGGAGUAGGACCAGAGGCAUGAACACUGGGAGGGGAAGAUGCCCCUCUGAGGAGCCCCCUUGAACUUGAAGUUAGUGGGGAUGAUCAGGGUACAAAUGCCCUCCUUCCUCUGCUCCCCCACGGCAGUAUCCGCUCCUCGUUCAUCCUGUACUGGGCUCCCUCAGGGAAGAGGAAUGGAGUGCAAUCCAGGGACUCUAACUGGGUUCAGGCCACUUUCUGCGCUUGCUGAGCCCCAGCUCUGACAUGGGACCCCUACAUAGGACAUGAAUCUUGCAUGUGAAAUGGCUGUGAGAGCGAGUGUCCCCCUAUUCUCUAGGAUCUGUUCAAGAAGCUGCUGCCCCAACAGUGCCUGGG